UCACAGCUAAAUAUUUCUGUGCUCCC
rnacentral:piRNA from 1 species